GACGUAGGGCGCGAGCGUUGUCCGGAUUUAUUGGGCGUAAAGAGCUCGUAGGCGGCUCGUUGCGUCGGGCUGUGAAAACCCGCAGCUCAACUGUGGGCUUGCAGCUGAUACGGGCGGGCUGGGAUUCGGUAGGGGAGACUGGAAUUCCUGGUGUAGCGGUGAAAUGCGCAGAUAUCAGGAGGAACACCGGUGGCGAAGGCGGGUCUCUGGGCCG
rnacentral:rRNA from 1 species